UACGUAGGGUGCGAGCGUUAAUCGGAAUUACUGGGCGUAAAGGGCUCGUAGGCGGCCAACUAAGUCAGACGUGAAAUCCCUCGGCUUAACCGGGGAACUGCGUCUGAUACUGGAUGGCUGGAGUUUGGGAGAGGGAUGCGGAAUUCCAGGUGUAGCGGUGAAAUGCGUAGAUAUCUGGAGGAACACCGGUGGCGAAGGCGGCAUCCUGGACCAAUACUGACGCUGAGGAGCGAAAGCCAGGGGAGCAAACGGG
rnacentral:rRNA from 1 species